rnacentral:rRNA from 1 species
UACGGAGGAUGCGAGCGUUAUCCGGAUUUACUGGGUGUAAAGGGAGCGUAGGCGGCUUAGUAAGUCAGAAGUGAAAGCCCGCAGCUCAACUCCGGGACUGCUUUUGAAACUGUGUGACUGGAGUGCAGGAGAGGUAAGCGGAAUUCCUGGUGUAGCGGUGAAAUGCUUAGAUAUCACGAAGAACUCCGAUUGCGAAGGCAGCUCACUGGACUGCAACUGACACUGAGGCUCGAAAGUGUGGGUAUCAAACAGG